rnacentral:rRNA from 1 species
GUGAGCUGGGUUCAGAACGUCGUGAGACAGUUCGGUCCAUAUCCGGUGCAGGCGUGAGAGUAUUGAGAGGAGCCUUCCUUAGUACGAGAGGACCGGGAAGGACGUACCGCUGGUGUACCAGUUAUUGUGCCAACAGUAAACGCUGGGUAGCCAAGUACGGAGUGGAUAACCGCUGAAAGCAUCUAAGUGGGAAGCCCACCUCAAGAUGAGUACUCUGGUGUAAGGUCACGGGAAGAACACCCGUUUAUAGGCACAAGGUGGAAGUGCAGUAAUGUGCGGAGCCGAAGUGUACUAACAGACCGUCAGCUUGACCUC